rnacentral:lncRNA from 1 species
AAUCAUCAUGAUAUAACAAUAUCGAAUGCAAGUCAUCAACAUCAUAAACAUCAAACAUAAUUCAUGUAAUGUAUAUACAAUUAUAUAACAUUAAUAACAACAUUAGAUCAUAUAAUUCAGGCUUACUGGAACAACAACAGCAAGAUAAACCACUUAGUUUCUAACCUCUAAGAUCAACUCACAUCAACUCGUGCGACAAAGAUUGCAUUUAACCUAAACAAGGCAUUUUGUAACACAAGUACUCGUGAGGCGAGAGCCCCUACUCGCU